GUUUGCUAUAGAAUUUAUUACAGUUUUUACUUAAGUUUCUUUUCAGUUCAAGUGAAAAAUUGAUGGACUGAGGUAGCAGUUACUGCUUUCUGUCUUGUUUUCAAGUUAGUGGGUGAUUACGCUGGCCAGUUAGGAAUGCCUGAGAAGUAGUGACAAAGCUAAGGUUAGAAUAGGCAUUGUUAGUAGGAGUUUGCUAGGGAUUUUUUUUAAUCCCACUUAUAAAUUUAGAAUUUGUAUUAUAUUUGAUGGUGCUUUUUGGGAGAGAAGACAGUAUGUGUUUACAGUUUUUUUGUCUUCAAUGUAUUAAAAAUGCAUGUAAUGUAAAAGAUUUGUGCUUUUCAGCUUACUUUUUCAGUUAUGCUUGUAUUUACACCUUUUAAAAUAUCUUCCCUUUUGUUUCCAGACCUUUUUUCACUAUUUUUCCUGAAUGUGGCCUUUUCUGAGUCUUACAUAUUUACCUCUUCUAUCCGUGUGGAAAAAUGUUAAAAAGGCUGUUGAAGAUUUGAAGUCAAGUCUUUUCUUAAUGUGGCUAUGCGAAGAUAUUUGGAAGACCUUAGUGGUGAUGCUUAUGAUGGCCUGAAGCUCUAGAAGCAGCUCUUGCAAUUCAUCACAAUGAGGGAGAGAUGUGAUCAUUCUUUCAGUUUGAAUGUGAAUAAAUAGGAUGAUCUAAUGAGUUCCA
rnacentral:lncRNA from 1 species